rnacentral:lncRNA from 1 species
UGAGCCCGAAAAACCAACGGAGUAGGUUGAUUGGUGAACCCGGAAAAUCAAUUGUAAAGGUUCGUUGGUGAGCCCGUAAAACCAACAAAGGUUUUUGGUGAACCCGGAAAACCAAAGUAUAAAGGUUCAUUGGUGAGCCCGUAAAACCAACAAAGGUUUUUGAAUUGUGAGCCCGGAAAACAAUCCAACUGUAAUCCGCGAGAUUAUAGUGAAUUCCCAAGGGGUCGCUUGGGGAGUGGACGUAGGUGCUAAGGAGAGCACCGAACCACUAUACUUUGUGUUGUUUGUGUUGUGAUUUGCUUUAGCUUACUAACCAUCCAUUUGACUUGAGUAAGAUAGUUUAAAUUUAAAAAGAAACCAAUUCACCCCCCCUCUUGGCUUGUCACCUUGGGCAACA